rnacentral:rRNA from 1 species
ACGGUGGGGUAACGGCCCACCGUGGCGAUGAUGGGUAGCCGGCCUGAGAGGGUGGACGGCCACAUUGGAACUGAGACACGGUCCAGACUCCUACGGGAGGCAGCAGCUAAGAAUCUUCCGCAAUGGGCGAAAGCCUGACGGAGCGACGCCGCGUGAACGAAGAAGGCCGUGAGGUUGUAAAGUUCUUUUCGGGAGGGGGAACGAGGCUGCCAGGCAAUGGGCGGCCGAUGACGUGAAUCCCGGAAUAAGCCCCGGCUAACUACGUGCCAGCAGCCGCGGUAACACGUAGGGGGCGAGCGUUGUUCGGAAUCAUUGGGCGUAAAGGGCGUGCAGGCGGCCGCCAAAGUCCGGCGUGAAAGACCCAGGCUCAACCUGGGGGGUGCGCCGGAUACUGGGCGGCUUGAGUACAGGAGGGGACGGCGGAAUUCCAGGUGUAGGGGUGAAAUCUGUAGAUAUCUGGAGGAACACCGAUGGCGAAGGCAGCCGUCUGGCCAUGUACUGACGCUGAGGCGCGAAGGUGCGGGGAGCAAACAGGUUUAGAUACCCUGGUAGUCCGCACAGUAAACGAUGUGCACCAGGCGGCGGGGGCAACCUCGCUGCCGCA